rnacentral:lncRNA from 1 species
GGCCUAAGAAAAGGAGAAAUAAGAUUGCUGAUGAGCUACCUCCAACCACGACAAGCAAACAUAUUGAUCCCUCCAAAGUGUCGAGAAAGAACUUGCCAGUUACAUGUGCCAAAUGUCUCAAAAUAGGACAUAACAAAAGAGGGUGUAAGGGAGAUAUGCAUCCCAACUCUAAGUUGUUGAAGGUAAAGUAUAUAUAUUUUAUUGAAAAAUAAUUUUAUUAUUGUUUACUAAUUUUUCAUUAUUUUAUUGCA